rnacentral:rRNA from 1 species
UGGGGAAUAUUGCACAAUGGGCGCAAGCCUGAUGCAGCGACGCCGCGUGCGGGAUGGAGGCCUUCGGGUUGUAAACCGCUUUUGUUCAAGGGCAAGGCACGGUCUUUGGCCGUGUUGAGUGGAUUGUUCGAAUAAGCACCGGCUAACUACGUGCCAGCAGCCGCGGUAAUACGUAGGGUGCAAGCGUUAUCCGGAUUUAUUGGGCGUAAAGGGCUCGUAGGCGGUUCGUCGCGUCCGGUGUGAAAGUCCAUCGCUUAACGGUGGAUCCGCGCCGGGUACGGGCGGGCUUGAGUGCGGUAGGGGAGACUGGAAUUCCCGGUGUAACGGUGGAAUGUGUAGAUAUCGGGAAGAACACCAAUGGCGAAGGCAGGUCUCUGGGCCGUUACUGACGCUGAGGAGC